UACGUAGGGGGCAAGCGUUGUCCGGAAUCAUUGGGCGUAAAGCGCGCGUAGGCGGCCCGGUAAGUCCGCUCUGAAAGUCCAAGGCUCAACCCUGGAAAGCGGGUGGAUACUGCCGGGCUAGAAUCCGGAAGAGGCGAGUGGAAUUCCUGGUGUAGCGGUGAAAUGCGCAGAUAUCAGGAGGAACACCAAUUGCGAAGGCAGCUCGCUGGGACGUUACUGACGCUGAGACGCGAAAGCGUGGGGAGCGAACAGG
rnacentral:rRNA from 1 species